rnacentral:lncRNA from 1 species
CCUUGUUGUAAACUUGUAAUUCUUUGGUGGUCGUUUUGUUGCAUGAUGACUCGAGCAUUCCAUUCUCCAUGAGAAUCCAGGAUUUUUUUUCUUACAUCAAUGUUCUAAUUGAUAGUGGUUCUAAAUAUACAUUGCAACAUGGAUAUUGGUGAAGUUGCUUGUCCAUAUAUAUACCUGCACAAUACCAAAAAAAAAAAAAAAUUACAUAAAAAAGCACCAAAGGAAAAAACGAAAAUCAAAUCAAUUUAAUGUAACUUCAUAGAUAUAUUUCUUAUAGUGUUGUGACAUAUAUAUCUUUUUAGAAUAACACUCAAUAAGUAGAAGAAGUUGUGAACUAUCUUAUAGUGUUAGCUUUUGAUGUAGUUGCUAUAUACUAAGAUUAUACAUCUUAUUUUUGUUAUAGAUUAUUAUAUUAAUGUAUAUUCAAUUGUUUAUUUUGUAGGCUAGGACUUUGCAUUAGAUAUAUAGAACAACUUUAAACGUACAAGAUAGCGACAACAAUGAACUUCGUGAAUUUGGAGAUAGAUUAUCUAAAUUAGCGUUGAAUUCCUUUAGAGUAGCUAGUGAAAGAGGUAGUGGAUGCAUUGAGGCUCAAUAUCCUCAUGGUGAUGAGUAUGUUGAACCUCGGCCACAACCGAGGCGUAGAGGUAGACGACGGGAAGAAAGACCCAACUAUGAUAGCGACGAGGAUGCAGGGACCCAAAUGUCUCCUGUUCAUGACCAUGUUACAUCUGAUAGAACAUCAAAUUCUUUUGGACAACACUUCAGGGGCAUUGCAGAGAACGUACAUACUUUUAGCUUGCAUUAUUCGGGUGAGACAAGCUAUAACUUGAAUGAUAGUCAAUUAGUUUUGUAUCAGCCAGAGUGCCUCACACAUCAGUAAUCGCCUCGCACGCCAUAUCAACCCACAGAAUUCACGGACUCAGAUUUUUAUGGACACUCACCAAUCAUUCCAGACCCCAAUCCACGAAGAAUGCCUCCUAUUGCUCCAGUUCCUUUUAUGCUAGAUCUUGAGUCUCAAGUUGAUAAUAAUGGCGUAGAGCUUGAGUCUCAUGUUGAUGAUAAUGACGAGAAUACAUUGGGUGUUGGUAGUAGAAGAGGUGGUAGACCACGUGGUAGGCCACCAGGCAGAAGUAGAUUCCAAAAUGCUCCGGCUAUUAGGAGGACUAGGCCAGAUGAAAUAGAUGGCGGCGAACCAGCACAUCCCCACAUGCUUAGUCCUCGAGCAAAUAUCCAUCUUUGAGGUUGUGGUACUCAUUGAUUUUUGUAUUAUCUGACAAAUAAUAUUUUGGAUAAGUUCGAGUAACUUUGAUAGAUUGGUGAAAGUGAAGACUAACGUUGAUCCAAAAUAUUUUUUUUGGAAUGAACAAAACAUUCAUCCUCUAUUAUCUUAAGCCUGCCCAUCUUUCAUCUCAUGUCAUGUCUAUUCUUUUCGUGUGUGCUACAAUAUGUUCUUGCUGAAAAAUAAAUGGAGCCAUGAUGUUACAUAAACUAUGUAAGAUAUAUAUUAUUUUGGCUAUUGUUAUAUGGUGAUCAAUUCUGACAUUAUCUCCCUAUAUUGAAAAUUGCAGACAAAAAAUAGAUGAAGAAGAGUUUUAUUCUCAAACUAUAAUUUGCUUGUGUGUUAUUAGGAAUUCUAACUCCUCCACCGUUAUUCAAAAUUUAUGAAAUAAUUUCUCUUUAGAUAGAAUGACAAUAUCUAUUAUGUAGAAGUCAUACUUCAAUUUACAAAAAUUUGACGAACUCAAUUGGCGGAGUUAAUCAUACACUAUAUGUUAGGUUUUUGCUUUUGAAAAUGAUGCAAAAUGCCCCGUUAUUCAUCUUGAUCGAGAAUGAGUAUAUAUCUUUCAUUACAUUGAGAAUAUCAAGACCAAAAGCAACAUGAAAUGCCUCAGAUGGAAUUAUCCAAGUCCUCGAAAAUUCAAGCUCAACAUAGAUGGAUGCAGUAAAUGUAAUCCGGGUAAUGGUGUCUUUUAUGUAUAUAUAGUUGACGUUGAACCCCUUCAACUAGUUUCGUAUAAUUACUUUUUCAAUUUAAAACCCCCUCAGUGAAAAUUCUUCUCCGAUAAUAAGGAGGUGGGCAUUCUUAGGUGUCCUUCUGGCAACAUGAUUGUGGCAUUUACCAAAUAGAUAAUGUUUUUUGAUGCAUUGUUGUAAAGAUUUUGUCUUUCGGAAACAACCUCUCUACCUUCAUACGAGGUAGUGGUAAGGUCCACAGCCGAAUUCACCGAGGCAUUCUUGAUCCAUAUAAAUAUUCCAGUGAUCAAUUUUGCCUAUCAAGAGAACUAUACAUAACAUGGAUUAUCUACUGAGAUACGUUUGUCUGAUGUACACAAGUACACGGACCGUCUUAUUAUAUGAGUAACACAGGAGAAGAAAAGCUUCUUGCUUGUACAAAUAACAUAAACCGAGAAGUAUCUUCCGUUUUUAUUAUCUUCUACUUUUUUUUUUGAAUAUCUUCUGAAAUAGAAAGAGUGAAAUGCAUACCUAGAAAUGUAGGUAACGCCAGUUUGUCCAAUUGAGUGCACCUUUUCAAGGGUAACAUUUCCUGAAGCCUGCCACCAUUAUAGCCAAAACAUCAUGUCAUCAGAAGAUAUACUUGAUCAAAAUAAUAAUCAGGAAAAUCAAACAGUGCUUUCUUGUGAGUUGUGAAUGGAGUUUUUAUCAUAAAAUUGAGCUUCCACGCUAUUUCUGUGGUUCUUACAUG